CCUUAACGGCCGGAAGGUCAGCGAAGUCCCGGAUGAGGACGGGUGGAAUGGUAGCGACCAUGGGGCAGUUGGCCUUCCUUCUACCAGACGUUGAUGUGGGAAAAGAGAAACGGAGUAACAGGACACAUUUAGCGAUUUGGAGAUUCCCAUCACGCUUUGGGAGGAUGUACCGGCGUUUAUAGGAGACCUGCGUGUAUAAUGGUCUCACUAUGUUACCCAAGCUGGUCUCAAACUCCUGGCCUCAAGCAGUUCUCUCAAGUAGCUGGUAUUACUGGUGAGAGCUACCACACCCAGGUAGAAAACUAAAAGUUUUCAUAACUCUGUUGGCAACAAAACCUGACCUGAACUGAGAAAACCUACAACAAAUACACGGUGCUGAGAUUAUCACCAGCAAUAUCCCAGAACUCAAAUAUGAAGAUGGAACAGUGCCCGUGGCAACAAAGAAGUAAAAAACUUCAAGCAGACGCUGUAAGAAUCAGACUUCCAAAUCCGUGACAUCCCUCUCCCAAAUCUGCCUAGCACCAAGCAUGUGGAAAACUUCCCCCACCUCACCGCCAGUUUCUACACUGGAAAAAGUGAGAUUGAAGUGGAUAACCAGUUUCCCCACCAUCUUGGAUUCCCUGGCAAGAGAUCUGUCCCUAAGUACUUAAAGGGAGAAAUAUUCCCAAAGACAACCAGAGAAAAAGUGGGGAGGUGGGACUUCCUUCCCCAACCCUAGAAACACUCUUCUUUAACUCAGCCAAAGGAGACGCCAAAUCAGCGAAGCUGGUCAGCAGCGACACACCAUAGGAGGUAUGUUCCACAGGUUCCCUGAGCACGAAAUUCUAGCCAGACUUCCCACCCUAUUGGGAUAUCCCCCGUAAGACCUUCUACAUUUGGGUCCGGCAGUGCUCCAGUCAUUUACUAGGGCCAAGGAAAACCUGGACUGCAGACUCCAUGUGAUGUCAGAAAGAAGGCAAGACCAAGAGGGCGAAAAAAAAGUAGAUGCUGUCAUGCUUUCUGUACAGCCUGCAGAACCAUGAGCUAAGUAAACCUCUUUUCUUUAUAAAUUACUCAGUCUCAUGUGUUUCUGUAUAGCAGUGUGAGAACAGACUAAUAUACAUGACUUCCCCAAACAGACAA
rnacentral:lncRNA from 1 species